GAGAAGAGAAGAGGCAGAAGCAAUAAUAGAGGAAAUAAUCAAUGAAAAUUUCCCAUCUCUUAUGAAGAUGGCUGCAGAAACGUGGGCAUGUGUGAUGAUGGGGUGUUGCCCAGUUCCUGCUGGGGUCACGUAUACCUAGAAGCUUUCUAAGAUCCCAGCACCCCCAGGAUGGGGGCACUGCUAAUGGCCUCUUGUUGGCAGGGUGAAAAGAUCUGUCUCAUCAAGCCGGCCUCGGCCAACUCCUCCCUUUACGAGUUCUGCCAUUUGGCCUCCAACCACAGUGAGAUGUUCUUUGUCGACCAGGUGAUCAAAUGCUACAAGUGCACUAUCCCACAUGGCCAGGUGCUCUUCAUCUCAUCAGCUGGGCCUGGGUGGCCCCAGGGACCCCAGGACCUGGGUCUCCUGCCUCACAGCCUGCUGCUGCUCCUGGGAAGUGAAGCCAGCAGGAGGGAGCCGUGUGGAGGAGGGCGAGGCUGGAUCGACACCACACUCAUCCCUGUGGCCUGCCUGACCUUUGCAGCACAUUUCCUCCACAGCCUGAGCGUGGAGAUGUAGACGAGAGCUCAUGAAGUGGAAAGAAGGUUGAAACUUGCAGCCUGACUCAGUUUCCAAACUUUGAAGUGGCCUGUUGGUACAUGGGAAAGCAUCUGCUUGAGGCAUUCAGAGGAACCGGUUGCCCUGUAUGUGUGUCUGAGCCCAUGCUUCUCUAUGGGGAGCAGGGGCUGGGGGGCUAUUUCUUUGUGGGUAAAAGCCAGGGAUGCCAGGAUGCGGGUGUCUGAGCUUGUACCUCGGCUUGCCAGGCCUGGGCCAGGGGACCUGAUCACCCCCUGGGGAGGGUAGUAGGUACGGGCGUGAGUGCCCUCUGCAGCCCCCCCGAGCCUGGGGAGCG